UAACACGUGGAUAACCUGCCUCACACUGGGGGACAACAGUUAGAAAUGACUGCUAAUACCGCAUAAGCGCACAGUACCGCAUGGUACAGUGUGAAAAACUCCGGUGGUGUGAGAUGGAUCCGCGUCUGAUUAGCCAGUUGGCGGGGUAACGGCCCACCAAAGCGACGAUCAGUAGCCGGCCUGAGAGGGUGACCGGCCACAUUGGGACUGAGACACGGCCCAA
rnacentral:rRNA from 1 species